GAUGAACGCUGGCGGCGUGCCUAAUACAUGCAAGUCGAGCGAAUGGAUUAAGAGCUUGCUCUUAUGAAGUUAGCGGCGGACGGGUGAGUAACACGUGGGUAACCUGCCCAUAAGACUGGGAUAACUCCGGGAAACCGGGGCUAAUACCGGAUAACAUUUUGAACCGCAUGGUUCGAUAUUGAAAGGCGGCUUCGGCUGUCACUUAUGGAUGGACCCGCGUCGCAUUAGCUAGUUGGUGAGGUAACGGCUCACCAAGGCAACGAUGCGUAGCCGACCUGAGAGGGUGAUCGGCCACACUGGGACUGAGACACGGCCCAGACUCCAACGGGAGGCAGCAGUAGGGAAUCUUCCGCAAUGGACGAAAGUCUGACGGAGCAACGCCGCGUGAGUGAUGAAGGCUUUCGGGUCGUAAAACUCUGUUGUUAGGGAAGAACAAGUGCUAGUUAAAUAAGCUGGCACCUUGACGGUACCUAACCAGAAAGCCACGGCUAACUACGUGCCAGCCGCCGCCGUAA
rnacentral:rRNA from 1 species